UAGACAUCCACCAAAUUUACUAACUGACAUUUACAGCAAACAUGACAGCAACAGUCAGCAGGAACAAGAGCUACACAGACAAAACAACAACAGCAACAGCAGCAGGCCUACUGAGGGGCCACAUACAAAAUUUGAUGUUUGUGUCAGUUAUUCAGACAACUGCACUGAAUUAUGCUGAGCCGGUCGGGGUGUUGUGGGUGUGCUAGGCUAGGCACGGAAUGACUGUAUGCAUGAAUGAAUUGUUGGCGAUUCGGUUAGAUUUUUUGAUGUUUUACUAUUUUUGCUGGCCAAGAGGUUGUGAAGCCAUUGGAUGGCCGUGACGUUGCGUUAAUUGCCACUGCAACACAAGGACAUGGCUAACAACUGUAGACAAGAAAAAUAAACCAGAAACACAACAUUUCCUCUAACUACUGUCUGAGGUACAACUUGAUGUUAAUCCUGGGUAACUCUUCAAAUCGUGUCGUGCCACACACCAAAUGUGAAAGUUGCAACUUUAUGAGGCAAAGAAGAUCUCCUUACUGCCUUCUGAGCAAGUAACCACGGCGCUCCUUGGUGCAGACUUCUUCAGCCAUCGACCCAUCCGACGCAGCUACUUACCACCAGGCAGCAUUAUCCACAGCGGUAAUCGCUACAGGAACAAGGUAGACCACACAACUUAUCUCCCACCCCACGCACAGUGACAGGCCUCCCAAUGCACACGACGCUACCACAACUGAACUGCAACAGACUCCACGGCAAGAUCGAAGAGAUAACCCUCUAUAUGGGUCGGUAUGACAUACUGAAAGAUCUG